UGCCUCACAAUGACAGAAGAGAGAGAGCAUGCUGGUGGGAAAACAAUUACAACUUUUGAUCAUCUGAUCUGGAAAUGCUUGUAAGCGGCAUUCUCUUGGAUUGUAAUCUGAAUUCUGCCUCUAUCAUCAACCUGCCCACAAACGAUUUCCUUCAACUGAGUGCCUUUCCGGCUUGAGCCUUCUGCAUGAUCAGCUGAGUUCUUUCUGCGCCUUUCAUUGUGUCCUGCC